CCCGGGGAGGGGGCGGGGCCGAGGGGCGGGGCUCCCGGCGGCCCCCGGGGCUGCGGGGUCCCUUCGCUCCCGCCCGCCGAGCGCCACCUCUGCGCCCUCCUUGCAUCUUCCUGGUCCCGCGUCCCCGCGCGGGGGUCCCAAAGAGAGCUCCGGCCUCCUGAAUCCACGGUCCCCCGCUGCCUGAGACGUACUCUGAGCGGAUCCGAGUUCGAAGCCCAGCGAACGAUGUGGAGGGAGCCCCACACCCGAAGACUUGCGGUGGGAAAUGGGAAGGGGUCACUCACCUGUCGGGUGUUGGCAGAAAUUAAGACAAGUGCAUGCCCAGUGCUGAGAACACAGUGAGUGCUCAGCAAGAGUCAGCCGCUGUCACUCUUAAAGUCACUGUCAUCAUCAUUAAAAGGGGUUCGAAUCGCAGCGCGGCCUCGACUGCGUGGCGCUGGGGCCCUCUGGGGCGGCUGAGCUUCAGUUUUUCCCCCGCUGCGACACGGGACCAGCUUUUUUCCGCAAAUGCAGAUGAGUGCCCAAGCGAAGGGCGGAGGUUUCUGCAGAAUUUCUCCAAGGUCUCUGGAGUCCCCGAAGAGUGCAGCUGGGUUUGUGACCGCCGCCGGCCCCCUUGCUCCCUCAGAAGUCCCGUGCAGACGCCUGGCCUUGGUCCCCGGGGCUUUGCGCGGGGAGCGCACCCUGGAGAGGGUGCUCGCAGGUCCAGUCCUCAGGUCGUUCCUCUGGACCAGUGUAAUUGCCUUCCUCUUCUCGAGGCCUCGUCCUCAUCCCCCAUAGGCUGUUCUCCCCACAACAGCCCAAGGGAGCCCAUGAACACCUGAGUUGGGGUAUGUCCCUUUUUUGCAUAAAACACUCCAUGGCUCCCAACUCACCAGGAAAAAAAGAAAAUCCUCCCCGCAGCCUCCAAGACCCUGCACGAUAAACCCUUACUUCCUCCCCUCUCUCCUCUUCAUUCAUUCCCUCCAGCCAAUUGUCUUCCUAGCUGUUCCUCAGAUGUUUGUUGAAUGAAUUAAAUAAUUCUCCAAGCU